rnacentral:rRNA from 1 species
UACGUAGGGGGCUAGCGUUGUCCGGAAUCAUUGGGCGUAAAGAGCGUGUAGGCGGCCCGGUAAGUCCGCUGUGAAAGUCGGGGGCUCAACCCUCGGAUGCCGGUGGAUACUGUCGGGCUCGAGUACGGAAGAGGCGAGUGGAAUUCCUGGUGUAGCGGUGAAAUGCGCAGAUAUCAGGAGGAACACCAAUUGCGAAGGCAGCUCGCUGGGACGUUACUGACGCUGAGACGCGAAAGCGUGGGGAGCAAACGGG